ensembl:lincRNA
CCGCCCUCCCUUCUCGCUCCGGUGCUGUGAAACCCUCACGGGGGAGUUCUCCCCAGUCCUGCCCUGCGCUUCCCCAGCUCCUCGGUCCGGGUUCCCCUUGACCUUCACUUCGUCCGCCCUCCUAGCUUUCCCCCAGCCUCCCACCUCUCUCACCCCCUUCUCUCCCCCAGCCUGUCACGGGGGUAGCAGAAGCUGCAUUUAUAAUCAGGAGCCACAGCUUGUCUCCCUCCCACGGCCCGGCUCGCGGCCAGGCUGGGACACAGCCUCCCCGCCCCCCAGAGGGCCUGGUCACCCCCGCCCACAUCUCCCGUGUCCUUCCUCUCUCCGCUGGGCCCUUUCCAUAGCUUCAGCUCUGCUCCCUGGGCACAUAGCAGGAAGCCCUACACCAGCCCCGUGGCCCGCCGAGUUCCUUGGCCCCCACCCUGUUCAUCACCCCAGCGGAUUCCGGCCCUUCCUCAGGCCCCUCAGGCGAGUGGCCAUGGGCUCUCAGUGUGUCCCCACCUCUGCCAUCCCUGUCCCAUACCCACUGUCCUCUCUGCUCCUCACCGCAGUCCCUGCUCCCUUGGUUCCACCUCCUAGUUCAUCCUGCAGACUCCAGGUCCUCGACCUGGGCCGCUGGCCACUAGUGCAUCGCUCAACUGCUUUCCAGUCCCAGAACUUGGAUUCCCCAGGGCGCCUCCUGCAGCGCCCCCUGUGUCCUCUCAUGGGUGCUCCACUCUACCUUAUGGGGUGGCAGGGUGCCACCCCCCACCUGUACCCCAGGACCCUCACACCCUGGGCUGCCCUGACCCCUGCUCCAGCCCUGCCUCACAGCACCAGCUCCAAGUCACCCAGAACCUGUCACCCUCUGGCUGUCCUCAAGCUCCUCCUCCCGUUUCCGGCUGGAAUCACACCUGUGGGGCUCCACCCUCCCUGUAGGUCCUCUCCCCUCUGAUGGAUCCUCUGUUGCUGACCCAGACCCCAGAUUGGAGUGCACAUCCUCUGGCCCUCCAGUCUCCCUGCAUGGCCACCACCUCCUGUGUGACUCUUUCAUCUCCUUCACUCUGGCUGGCUGUCCCUGCCCGCCUCCUCCAGAUGUCCAGCAAGUCCCAGCAGAAGGCCUUGCAGUCUACACUGAGUGCAAGUAACCUGCCAGUGUUUGCUGCCAUCCUUGCCAAGACCUGCACCCUCUGCCGUGUCUCCCAGUGCCCUCUGACUCCUGCCCUCACCCCAAACCUCACUAUCCCCUGCCUGUUCUCCAGAGCUCUGUUUCCUUUUCCUGCACUGUGCCGGGUGAUGGAGAUAGGACUGAGAGCAGGAGCAGGGCCAGAAGGGGAGGAGGAAGGAAGGCCCUCACUCCCUCACCCAAGCCCUUCAGAUUCCCCAUCCCCUCAAUUUUUUUUUUUUUUUUUUUUUUUUUUUUUUUUUUUUUUUGAGACAGGGUCUCACUGUGUAGUUGAGACUGACCUGGAACUCACUAUGCAGCCCAGGCUGGUCUCAAACUCAAAGCAAUCCUCCUGCCUCAGCCUCCCGAGUGCUAGGAUUACAGGCGUGCCCCACCACACCCAGCUCCCCUCGCCCUUUCUAGCUCAUACCACACUGGAAGAGAUGACAUCUUCACCCCCAAAUCUUCAGAGCCACAUCUCCCCAAUAUGGCCCUCAAUGACCUCAUGGCCAAGGGAGCGUGACCAUCAAACGUCGAAAUACAGAACCCCUAAGACGACAGGAAAGGGAACUCAGUCCUGAGAGAGAUCCCAGACCUGAUACUGAAGACCCUCAGAUGUGUCAAAGACAAACUGCAGAUCCAGACACCUCAGGGAGACCCUUCCAACUCAAGCAGG